rnacentral:rRNA from 1 species
AGGGGGAUAACUACUGGAAACGGUAGCUAAUACCGCAUAACGUCUUCGGACCAAAGUGGGGGACCUUCGGGCCUCACACCAUCGGAUGUGCCCAGAUGGGAUUAGCUAGUAGGUGGGGUAAUGGCUCACCUAGGCGACGAUCCCUAGCUGGUCUGAGAGGAUGACCAGCCACACUGGAACUGAGACACGGUCCAGACUCCUACGGGAGGCAGCAGUGGGGAAUAUUGCACAAUGGGCGCAAGCCUGAUGCAGCCAUGCCGCGUGUAUGAAGAAGGCCUUCGGGUUGUAAAGUACUUUCAGCGGGGAGGAAGGCGAUAAGGUUAAUAACCUUGUCGAUUGACGUUACCCGCAGAAGAAGCACCGGCUAACUCCGUGCCAGCAGCCGCGGUAAUACGGAGGGUGCAAGCGUUAAUCGGAAUUACUGGGCGUAAAGCGCACGCAGGCGGUCUGUCAAGUCAGAUGAGAAAUCCCCGGGCUUAACCUGGGAACUGCAUUUGAAACUGGCAGGCUAGAGUCUUGUAGAGGGGGGUAGAAUUCCAGGUGUAGCGGUGAAAUGCGUA